GGAAAAGAAAAUUUGGCUUCUGUGCUUAACCGCUACAAGAGGCGAUUAUCCAACAAGCUGAGCGGGAGUAAAUGAGGGGUCUAGGUCAAGCAAGGUUGUGACAUAAGGUUCUCAAUCUGCCUCAACCUCAAGUGGGUAAAUAUAGGGCUGCUUGAUUUUGAAAAGCAGCGUAUAUACUCUGAUCAGAAGUACAGUUAUGGGGCUCUCUCUCUUGUGUAUUUAAAAGUUAAUGUGCUGCAAAAUUUACUUGGUUGUGUGUUAUAUAUACAUAGGAUAAAGAUUAAGGGAUACGUAAUUGCAGCAUGAUUAAAGAAAAUGGGUAGAAAGGUGGAAAGUUGCUUGAAACGCAUUUUCUGGUUUCAGUAACUUGUCACCUUCAAGGCAAUGUAGAUUAUUGCAUUGGGUGGGGGGAAAGUUUCUAUACCUAAUCUCUAUCCUACUAAAAAUGGUGUAUAUCUUUAGUUUCUCUACUGAAAAACAGACAAUGUUACUGCCUUUUUGAGUUUACAACAGCUCAUGUAAAACAGGAGCUUGAUUGUGUCAUUGUUCAGUUGCUCUAGCACAUCUCAGGAAUUGACUAUGUAUCACUUCAG
rnacentral:misc_RNA from 1 species